AUUUAGAUAAGUAGGGGUUUACUACCAAAACAAGGGCAAAGCCCUGUUCUCAGAAACAAAAAUGAAAGCCGACAUGAACUCUCUCUCCCCCCUUCUCCCUUCUCCCUUCUCUUUUACCAGCAACUAUGGUCUCCGACCAUCGGUUAUUGUCACCGCUCAACCCAUCUGCCGCAGGAACCAACGAUCUACAAACUAUACGAGCGCGUUGGAUCUCCCUCUACUCGACCAGCUAUGAUCGACAGUUCUGGAUGUCGUCGUCGAUUGGUUUCAAUUUUUUCAACCUUAGGGUUUCGAAUUUGGGGCUUGUGCAGCAACCUAUCAAAUUUGUUUCCCUCGUUACAAAAUUGGAGUUUAUCUUGACACGCAUACAGACUUUCCAUGACGAGUUCAGUCACUGUGAUUUUAAUUUAGAUUCGAACAGCGUAUGAUGUGAGUUUGAGUGAUGAGAGCUGACCUCGAGAUCUCUUUGAUUUCGUCAGCGGCAAAUGCUUUCAAGUCAUGGGAAAGGCUUGAUGUAGGUGGCAUUAUAUCCCACUCUUUUGAAUUGGAGGCCAAGAUGAAAGGACUGUUUAGCGGUGCAACAGCUGUUAUUACAUUCGCUUUCUCUCAAAGGCUGCUCUGCAGGAGAGUGUUGAUGCUUUUAUCAACUGUGUUGUGAAAAACAUAGGAUUCAGCUAGGGAAAGCACGUUGCAUGUUUGAUCAGAAUAUGGAAGGACCAGUCACAUAUACAAUUGUUAUACUUUCGAUGAGAAUACUCCACUUGUUGAUGUCCAUAGUACAUCUCUGCAUUGGGUGAAACAAUAUUCAAGGGACUGCAAAGCGGAGAUAAGGAUGGGGUCUGGCUAAUGCAGGAGAGAUAUUUUUGCAGUUCAGUGAUGGACCAAGAGAGAUGAUAUAUUGUUCUUAUUUCAGAUGAAAGAAGAGUGAAAGGAGUCUCCUGUAGAGUUGUUUACAAUAAUUUGUAUUUACAUAUUUAAAUAUGGGUCUUUCUAAAUGUACCCAGCAAAUAUCUAAAUAUACCCAGCAAAUUUUUUA